GAUGAACGCUGGCGGCGUGCCUAAUACAUGCAAGUCGAGCGAACAGACGAGGAGCUUGCUCCUCUGACGUUAGCGGCGGACGGGUGAGCAACACGUGGAUAACCUACCUAUAAGACUGGGAUAACUUCGGGAAACCGGAGCUAAUACCGGAUAAUAUAUUGAACCGCAUGGUUCAAUAGUGAAAGACGGUUUUGCUGUCACUUAUAGAUGGAUCCGCGCCGCAUUAGCUAGUUGGUAAGGUAACGGCUUACCAAGGCAACGAUGCGUAGCCGGACUGAGAGGGUGAUCGGCCACACUGGAACUGAGACACGGUCCAGACUCCUACGGGAGGCAGCAGUAGGGAAUCUUCCGCAAUGGGCGAAAGCCUGACGGAGCAACGCCGCGUGAGUGAUGAAGGUCUUCGGAUCGUAAAACUCUGUUAUUAGGGAAGAACAAAUGUGUAAGUAACUAUGCACGUCUUGACGGUACCUAAUCAGAAAGCCACGGCUAACUACGUG
rnacentral:rRNA from 1 species